CAUUCGUGGUGCAGGCAUUUUUGAAUCAACAUUUUCAACCAUUCUCAUGCCGUACAGAAACUUUCUCCCUCCAUUUGUCUGAAAACAACAAUCUUUCUUCUUAGUUG
rfam:Gossypium hirsutum cultivar TM-1 chromosome 18, whole genome shotgun sequence